AUCCUCCUCCCACCUAACUUCAUUACUAGCAAAAAUAUGCCUAAAAGGAUAAAAAAUAUCAAAGGAAGAGUACAUUUACAUAUUUUUUGUACAUUUACAAUACACAUUUACAAAUACCGAGAAAACACAUGGCGGGAAAAAAAUGAUAUUUUCUUAAACUUCUUGAUCUGUGAAUACAAAUAAAGAAGAUCGCUCAGGGUAGGAUCAAUAAAGAAACUGGUUUUGAAGAUUUUUUCACCUUUCGCAAAUAUGAAGAAUUUUCAGGAUGCAAUGACUUAGUUCCUGAUUAACAGAAUGGUUAUAAAUGCUGAGAAGUUACUUACCAAGUAUCUAAAUAUUUGAAGAAGAUAUCCUCCAAAUUAAGUGCUCUUGCCUCCCAAUCAUCAUCCUGACCAAAAACAGGAAUGUUUAUUAAAGAGGCUUUCAACAAUCAUUC
rnacentral:lncRNA from 1 species